rnacentral:rRNA from 1 species
CAGCAGUAGGGAAUCUUCCACAAUGGACGAAAGUCUGAUGGAGCAACGCCGCGUGCAGGAUGAAUGCCCUUGGGUUGUAAACUGCUUUUAUAAGUGACGAAUAUGACGGUAACUUAUGAAUAAGGACCGGCUAACUCCGUGCCAGCAGCCGCGGUCAUACGGAGGGUCCAAGCGUUAUCCGGAAUUACUGGGCGUAAAGAGUUGCGUAGGUGGCAUUGUAAGUAGAUAGUGAAAGCGUGGGGCUCAACCUCAUAUCCAUUAUCUAAACUGCAAAGCUAGAGGGCGAGAGAGGUAACUAGAAUUCCUUGUGUAGGAGUGAAAUCCGUAGAUAUAAGGAGGAAUACCGAUGGCGUAGGCAGGUUACUGGCUCGUCCCUGACACUAAGGCACGAAAGCGUGGGUAGCAAACGGGAUUAGAUACCCCGGUAGUC